CCUCCCCAUGUAGGAGCAAUAGGGGUUCGUCAUUGUGAUUGGGCACAAUGCCUUUGUAGGGAAGCAAACUCUUUUCCUCCGAUCCUGCAGCCUUCCUCAUCCCUCUUCCUCGAUCCUCCCUCCACCACCAGCCGCUGCUACCGCUCCUCCAUGGCUCAACCCCUCCUCUUCGUCCGAUGGAGGUGACCGACUUUGCUCCUUCUCGAGCUGCUCGUUCUCUCCUCUCCCCCGACGACCAGUGCAGGAGAGAGAAGAUGAGAGAGGAGGGAGAGAGAAGGAAGGAGAGGAGGGAUAAAGAGAUAGGAAAGAGAAAAGGGAGGUACGACGGCGGACGGGGUAGGUUCACCGGUCGGCGCCGGCAAGGUCGGGCGUGGUCUCGGGGUCGGUGGUGGCUUGAUCCGCUCUUGGAUCGGGGGCCUCCCGUCCGCGCCGCAGCGUCGCUGGCAUGGAGGCCCGGGCUCGGGCAGCCACUGUCGUGUCGGGCGUGCUGGUGAGGUCUCUAGGGACACCAUGGCCCCAAUGUAAACGGCAUCGCGGCCGCCCCAGAGGAAGUCAAAGACGAAGGAUCACUGGCAGUUUGAUCGAGUUCAUCUUCAUCCUACAGGUGGAUCCAACAAGUUUGACAGCUGGAGACACAGAAGAAGGGAGGCAGGUGGAGCAGUUGAUGGAACAGGAAGAGGACAUCAUGGUAUUUUCAAUCAGCAUCUGCACUUCUCCUUUUUCUUCUUUGUUUAGGUGUUUCAAAUCUCAAUUCAUCGGUUUGGAACUUGGACCCUCGGAACUCAUUUUUCAGUUCUUACUAAAAUCCCAAUUUGGUUGUCUUAUAAUAUUUUACUUCUCUGAAUUUUCUCUUUUGCCUGUUGGUUUAGUUGUUCUGCAUGCACUUGGCCCCAAAUCUUUUAACUUAGUUGGUCACAACUCACAACUGGUGUUUAUCUUCUUAGGAUCUACUCCCUCCGUUCCUAAAUAUUUGUCUUUCUAGAGAUUUUAAUAAAUGACUACAUACGGAGCAAAAUGAGUGAAUCUACACUCUAAAAUAUGUCUAUAUACAUCCGUAUGUGGUAGUCCAUUUGAAAUCUCUAAAAAACAAAUAUUUAGGAACGGAGGGAGUAGCUGAGGAUUGGCAUGCUGGCACAACAACAUGGUCCUAUUGGGGAUGGUGAAGAAACAAACCCCACUGUCAGUUCUCCAAACCCUACUGGGGAUGAUGCGCCUCCUGCUCUCGUCCUCUGUUCGUCCGUCCACCUCGCUCCAGCCGCCGCCUCUCGUCCUCGGUUCGUCGUUCCGCCUCUCUCCACCCGUCGUUGCACUGCUUCUGUAGACCACCAUGAAGGUGGUUGUUGGUUGAGUGUGAGAGCUGUAGUUCUUCGUCGAUCGCUGAUCUUGUUCGUCAAUGAAUUCUGCGGCUGUCAUCGUCACCAAGAAAUCGCACUAAUUGGUUCGUCGUCAGAUUUGCCUUGCUGUUUCAUCUGCUCAAACGAUCAUCUUUGUGUUGAGGAAUUGGCGUCAUCAAUUGAUACUCGAGUUUACCUUGUUAUUUGAUCUGCUGGGCAUAUCGACUCUGCGGUAAGGUUAACUAUACUGAAGAGAACCUGCUCGACUACAUUGAUCCAAACAAUGAUACACUCAUGGUCAGACUUGCAGACGACCAUCUGCUCACCGAAUGUCGCAUCAUGCUAGGAACUGACAAGAGGGCCACUACAACCACCAACAUUCGUGAAGGAGACAUCUGUGCAUUUCGUUUCAGGAUCACUUCAAAGGGCCGCCUGGUUCUCACCGUGCACUGCCUCUAGAUGCACCAUCGAAGACGCUGCAGCCCAUGUGUGACUGUGUCAAUAUAAUAUAAUAUAAUUCUAUGAUAACCUAUGGUUCGCUUUUGGGCAUCAUGGUUGUCACUAUUCUUUAUAGUAUAUAUUUCUAUUUCU